rnacentral:rRNA from 1 species
CCAGAGAACUUAGGCAGAGAUGCUUUGGUGCCUUCGGGAACUCUGAGACAGGUGCUGCAUGGCUGUCGUCAGCUCGUGUUGUGAAAUGUUGGGUUAAGUCCCGCAACGAGCGCAACCCUUAUCCUUUGUGCCAGCGGCUCGGCCGGGAACUCAAAGGAGACUGCCGGUGAUAAACCGGAGGAAGGUGGGGAUGACGUCAAGUCAUCAUGGCCCUUACGGCCAGGGCUACACACGUGCUACAAUGGCGCAUACAAAGAGAAGCGACCUCGCGAGAGCAAGCGGACCUCACAAAGUGCGUCGUAGUCCGGAUUGGAGUCUGCAACUCGACUCCAUGAAGUCGGAAUCGCUAGUAAUCGUAGAUCAGAAUGCUACGGUGAAUACGUUCCCGGGCCUUGUACACACCGCCCGUCACACCAUGGGAGUGGGUUGCAAAAGAAGUAGGUAGCUUAACCUUCGGGAGGGCGCUUACCACUUUGUGAUUCAUGACUGGGGUGAAGUCGUAACAAGGUAAGCGUAGCGAG